UACGUACGAGGCGAGCGUUAUCCGGAAUUACUGGGCGUAAAGCGUGCGCAGGCGGUUCGUUGUGUCGGCGGUGAAAGCCCCGGGCUUAACCUGGGAAUGGCCGUUGAAACUGGCGAACUGGAGUGUGGCAGAGGGGGGUGGAAUUCCGCGUGUAGCAGUGAAAUGCGUAGAGAUGCGGAGGAACACCGAUGGCGAAGGCAGCCCCCUGGGCUAACACUGACGCUCAGGCACGAAAGCGUGGGGAGCAAACAGG
rnacentral:rRNA from 1 species